rnacentral:rRNA from 1 species
AUUGAGCGCUGGCGGCAUGCCUUACACAUGCAAGUCGAACGGCAGCACGGGUGCUUGCACCUGGUGGCGAGUGGCGAACGGGUGAGUAAUACAUCGGAACAUGUCCUGUAGUGGGGGAUAGCCCGGCGAAAGCCGGAUUAAUACCGCAUACGAUCUACGGAUGAAAGCGGGGGACCUUCGGGCCUCGCGCUAUAGGGUUGGCCGAUGGCUGAUUAGCUAGUUGGUGGGGUAAAGGCCUACCAAGGCGACGAUCAGUAGCUGGUCUGAGAGGACGACCAGCCACACUGGGACUGAGACACGGCCCAGACUCCUACGGGAGGCAGCAGUGGGGAAUUUUAGACAAUGGGCGAAAGCCUGAUCCAGCAAUGCCGCGUGUGUGAAGAAGGCCUUCGGGUUGUAAAGCACUUUUGUCCGGAAAGAAAUCCUUGGCCCUAAUACGGUCGGGGGAUGACGGUACCGGAAGAAUAAGCACCGGCUAACUACGUG